GACAAGUCGCUGGUUCUAAAUGCCCGCCAUUAGCCAGAGGAGGGCCGCGACAGCCCAUGCUGCCCCGUCAUGUGCAGAGGCUGGGCAGAGACUGGAUCACCCACUGGAAUGGUUCUCAGAUACUUGCCUUGAACAGUCCAGUUCCCAGCUGUAUGAGAUGGGCCGGACAGUAUCCCUGGGCCUCGUUUCCACUUCCUGUUCCAGCUGACUUCUCAGCAAACUGGAGACUCCCUUCAUUUUUUGGACCUUGGAGGCAAUUCCAGAACUCUAAUUGGCAGCUUGAUAACUUCAUGCAAAGUUCUUGCUUUCACCUACCUAACCCCAGUAUGAAAUCUGAGGGAGAAGAACCAUUAACAAAGAAGAGAAGGCUCAGUGACCAGCAUAAUACUUCAACUCCUGAAGAAGAAACAAACUUCUCUCAUCAGCGGGAAGCAUUGUGUCUUUCUGUAGCACAGAAUGAAGAAAAACAUAGCAGCAAGAAAGGAACCGUCAAAAGACGCUGGGAAUAUUUCUGUCAGCACAGUAGAACAAUGAAAAUCGUUGAAAAUAAAGAAACUGACCAAAGCAAUACAGAAAGUGAGGCAAAAUUUGAUUUUACAGUCAUGUCCUACAAUAUCCUCUCACAGAAUUUGUUAGAAGAUAACUCCCACCUGUACAAACACUGCAGGCAACGAUUGUUAAUCUGGACAUACAGAUUUCCCAACAUUCUACAAGAAAUCAAACAGCUGGAUGCAGAUGUACUCUGUUUACAAGAAGUCCAAGAAGACCACUAUAGAACAGAGAUCAAGUCAAGUUUGGAAUCCCUGGGGUAUCACUGUGAGUAUAAAAUGAGGACAGGGAGAAAACCUGAUGGCUGUGCUAUUUGCUUCAAAACUUCCAAGUUUAGCCUGAUCUCAUCAAACCCCGUGGAAUUUUUUCGCCAUGAUAUUCCACUCUUGGACAGGGACAACGUUGGACUGGUGUUGCUUUUGCAGCCUAGAUUUCACUGUGAAACUAAUGCUGCAAUCUGUAUAGCCAAUACACAUCUGCUGUAUAACCCAAGGCGAGGGGACAUCAAACUGACCCAACUUGCAAUGCUCCUGGCAGAGAUUGCUAGUGUUGCCCCUCAGAAGGACGGUACCUACUGUCCAAUUAUCAUCUGUGGUGACUUCAAUUCUGUUCCUGGUUCUCCAUUGUACAGAUUUAUAAAGGAAGGGAAGUUAAAUUAUGAAGGACUUGCUAUAGGGAAGGUCUCCGGACAAGAACAGUUUCCAAGAGGACAAAGAAUCUUACCUAUUCCAAUUUGGCCAAAGAAAUUAGGUAUUUCGCAAAACUGUGUAUAUGAAAUAAAAAAGCAGCAAAAAGAAGAAAAUGCAGGAGAAAAAUUGGAAGCAGCAAAACUGGACAACACUCAGGAGAUUGUAAUAGCAUCUGAAAAGUUGUCUUCAAAAUUGCAGCACCAUUUUAAACUGUCUUCAGUCUAUUCUCAUUACUUUCCUGAAACUGGGAUACCAGAAGUAACGACUUGUCACUCCCGAAGUGCUGUCACUGUGGAUUAUAUUUUCUAUUCUGCAGCGAACGAUGAUGCUGCUGCCCAGCCAGCGGCCAUCUCGGCAUGGAGACAAGAGCUGAGGCUACAGAAAAGCAGCAAUCAAAAUAGCGUGUGAAAAGUAUGCCAUCAGUAACUCAUGCAGGACCUCUGUGGCCUGGCCUACAACAAAGCAGUAUUUCCAGUCAUCUCAUCAACAAAAGGAUUCUUCACCCCACGUCAGAGUAUAGAAUGGGACCAAACUUGAAUUCUCCAAGUAGUUUAAACUGGGGUAGUUUUUGUUCAUUAGUUCUUGGAAACUAAUAGCCUGGAUUUUCAUUUUUCUCAUGACCUGGACCUCUGUAUUAAAAGUUGACAAAUUGUGAACGGGUGAGUGUUAAAUGUGCUCUAGGCUGACUGGUCACUUUUUUCCACUUAAAAGAGGUUUUUCUGAAAGUUUUUGUGCUUUAGUCUGCAUAAUGCUUAGCCAAGUAUUUGGCUUGGUAUCCAGGAUUUGCUGUGAAAGCAGGGUUCAGUAUCUACCCAAGUCCUGCAGGACUCAAUUUUGCUGGUUCCAGAGUGCUCCAAGCUGAUGUUAAUUACUGCGCGCAGACCAAGCUCUCUGUAGCAACCAACUGCUCCUUUGUGGACAUGCAGGUGCUAUGCCAAAUGAUAAAUUUGGCUCAAGAGCUGGGCGGAUGCGUGCUCUAGAGCUACUGAGACAUCUUUGCAGUGAAAAGGUUUUUCUUCAGAGCAGAAGUAAACAGCUGCUGGGUUGUUAGAGAACUGGAAAGCUGGCAGAUGGCAAAGAAGUGAAGCCGUUGAACUAUCUGAGGAGUUUAACAGUUGCUGGAUAAUCCUUUAAAAUAUGCCUACUGGUAAGCCAGAACCAGGUUCAGCCAGGAAGUUCUGAAAUUGCUGAUCACUUUCAUACAGAAAAUACUUCUGUCGAAGUUACAGCUGCUGUUUGUCCUGAAAGCACUCAACCUGCUCAGAAUCAUCUCUGUGCUCUGAAAGCAAUCGCUAGGGUUGCUGAAUAGUUUGCCUCGCUCAAGUAGAUAGCUCAAGAAGUCUACAAGUUUGACACAUCAUGGAAGGAUCUCCUUCUCAAUGGAAUUUUUUUUAUUUGAGUUGGAAAAAGCUUGUUAUUCUUUGCUGAUGAUGGUUUUCUGUUUUGUUUUGGUUUUUUUUUUCUUUUAAUGAGGACAAAUAUUUUAAGUAUAGUGUAAUAAUAAGGUAUAAUAAUAGCAAGGCUUGAGUCAUCUUCCCCUCUUCCAUGAGCAAUGUGGUGUUUUCUUGUGUGUGGUG